rnacentral:rRNA from 1 species
GACGUAGGGCGCGAGCGUUGUCCGGAUUGAUUGGGCGUAAAGAGCUCGUAGGCGGCUCGUUGCGUCGGCUGUGAAAACCCGCAGCUCAACUGUGGGCCUGCAGCUGAUACGGGCGGGCUGGAGUUCGGUAGGGGAGACUGGAAUUCCUGGUGUAGCGGUGAAAUGCGCAGAUAUCGGGAAGAACACCGGUGGCGAAGGCGGCUCUCUGGACCUGUCCUGACGCUCAGGCGCGAAAGCUAGGGGAGCGAACAGG